ensembl:lncRNA
GUUAGUACUGGGGCUCUGCCGAUUGAUUCAUAACUCUGUGUUUCAAUGGAGUUAACACCAGGAAGCCUUCUCUGACCUCCCCUUGCCUUCCACUCAACCACUGCCCUGGAUGGGAGAUCCUGAUAAGGAAUACAGAACUAAUAAGCCACCACCAACCGGAAGAGUUCGGGAAAGGUCUAAAGGAGACACCACGUGUCCGUCCACUUCCCAGAAUCCCUCUCGCUGGCAUCCAUCUUGGCUGAGUGAUGCAUGCACCACCAGGAAAGACUCUGAAUUAGAAUGAUUGGUCAAAGACCACCCAGAAACUAAUCCCAUCACCCUAAAACCCGACAUUGUGAGCCACGCGGCAGAGCAGUUCUCCUGGGUUCCCUGACCCUACUGCUCUC